rnacentral:lncRNA from 1 species
GAGAAGAUGACUGUAGUAGCACCUGUAUCCCCUCAGAUCAAGAGCAAAUGUGGUUCACAGCAGAAACCUAAUGAGGGAACAGAGAGGCUGACCAUCUGCAAUUCGGUGUCUUUACCAUUUCUAUAAAUGAUCUGGAUGCAGCACUUGAAGUCAUACCAAGUAAGUCUGCAGAUAUUAAAUUAGGAGGAGCUGCCUACUUCCUGAAGGGUGGUGAGGUCUUGCACAGAGACCUUGACUGACUAGAGCAGUCACCAAUUGAAUGAAGUGUAAUAAGAGCAAGUGCUGGAUUCUGCACUUGGGACAGGGCAACUUUGGAUAUGUGUCCUGACUGAGGCACGAGAGUCUGGAGAGCAACUCCAAAGAAGGGGAUCUAGGGGCUCUGGUUG